rnacentral:rRNA from 1 species
UCCAGGACCACUCCUGUCUGAGGGCCGGCUGUAUAAAAAUACAUAUCACACUGUUC